GUGAUGCACUGUUUAAACGUGACUAUUAAAUAACAAUAACAUCCUCUUAAGACCGACAUGCUGAAAAUUGUACGAUCACUGGAACUUCUCUAAGUGCAGGGCAGAAUACACGAAGCGAAAUCUCAAUACAGGACAAAAUGUCAAUGAUGUAAUUGGCGAAAUUAGAAAAUAGCAGAUUUGAAGAAAAUGUUUCAAGGUACUCAAAGAAAAAAGAAUUAGUAAAAUAGAUCAAAAAGUCACCAAGUUUUAGAUUUUGAAUAGGACAUAAUUGCUGUAUUAGCCGUAUUGAAAUGGAGUCAUUCUCAUGGAGUUUAUGGUGAUGAUAUCUUUCAUCAAGAUUUACUAGUUUAAAUCGAAUUAGACAGAAUCAUUGAGGAAAUACAAUGGCCCCCUAGAGAAAAAUCCAGCACAGAC